UUUUAAUAAUAAUAAUAUGGAAUAUUGUGUGAAAAUAUGUAUCAGAGAAAAUAGAUCAUUAAACUGUUAUGUUUAAAAGUUAAGAGUUUGUAUUGUUUAAUUAAAAUUCUUGUUCAACUAGGUAAACAAUGAUAUCAGAAUCAGAUCAUGUUUAGAUCAAUUUAACAUUUAUGAUGGAAAUAAAAUAAACAUUUAAGAAUCUAAUUAUUAAAUAUCUAAAUGAUUUUCUACAUACUUUUUUUAUGACAUUCAGUUACAUACAAUAUUUUGCGUUCAAUAACUACUUCUAUUGUAUUAUAACUUACCUAGUAACAAUUACUAUUAUAUAACGGAAUUAGGUUUAUUAUACAACGAUAGUUCUAUUUUUACGUAAUGCUAUAUUGUAUUAAAAAAUAUUCGCUUCAUGGAUGAAGUAAAAUAAAUCUAAGAUAAACUUUUUGUAGUUAUUUUUUACAAGUCUUGUUAACGAUGCAUUUACUAUUAUAAUAACAAUAAGAGCCUGCAGUUUUUCAGCCUUGCUCCAGUUAUUGUUCGAAGUGUUUUUAUACCCCAAAAGUCGUAUAAAGCAUUGUCGCGGUAGUGUCAAAGUAUAGUUGACUGAUAAACGUGAAAAUCACCAGCCAACAUGCCUUCUCCCUGUGAACCCUGCAAAGAUUCCUGCAAAGACGGAUCGUGCAAAGACAAUUGUUCCUGCAAGGAGAAAGGCUGCAACGAUUGCACGUCUAAAGGAGGUUGCUGCUAAAACCUAUCACGAUGGACAGAUCUGACUCCAGGCGCCCUUCUCUCAGCACCCGCGUGUCCCGCAUCCUCGAGAUCUGCUUCCCCAUCUCCUUCUCUGUGGCCUUCGUCGUUACUAUUGUUCUGUUCUACUGUAUUAUAUAAAUGUUCUUUUGACUUA